rnacentral:rRNA from 1 species
CCUACGGGAGGCAGCAGUGAGGAAUAUUGGUCAAUGGGCGGAAGCCUGAACCAGCCAAGUAGCGUGCAGGAUGACGGCCCUACGGGUUGUAAACUUCUUUUAUAUGGGAAUAAAAUGUUCCACGUGUGGGAUUUUGUAUGUACCAUAUGAAUAAGGAUCGGCUAACUCCGUGCCAGCAGCCGCGGUAAUACGGAGGAUCCGAGCGUUAUCCGGAUUUAUUGGGUUUAAAGGGAGCGUAGGUGGAUUGUUAAGUCAGUUGUGAAAGUUUGCGGCUCAACCGUAAAAUUGCAGUUGAAACUGGCAGUCUUGAGUACAGUAGAGGUGGGCGGAAUUCGUGGUGUAGCGGUGAAAUGCUUAGAUAUCACGAAGAACUCCGAUUGCGAAGGCAGCUCACUGGACUGCAACUGACACUGAGGCUCGAAAGUGUGGGUAUCAAACAGGAUUAGAUACCCCGGUAGUC